AUCAACUUUCGAUGGUAGGAUAGAGGCCUACCAUGGUGGUAACGGGUAACGGGGUGUUAGGGCACGACACCGGAGAGGGAGCCUGAGAAACGGCUACCACAUCCAAGGAUGGCAGCAGGCGCGCAAAUUACCCAAUCCCGACACGGGGAGGUAGUGACAAUAAAUAACAAUACGGGGUUCUUUUGGAUUUCGUAAUUGGAAUGAGUACAAUUUAAAUCUCUUAACGAGGAACAAUUGGAGGGCAAGUCUGGUGCCAGCAGCCGCGGUAAUUCCAGCUCCAAUAGCGUAUAUUAAAGUUGUUGCAGUUAAAAAGCUCGUAGUUGAAUUUCGGGAUCAGUGAGUCGGUCGUGCCACUGGUAUGCACUGGCUCUACUGGUUCCUCCUUCUUGAAGAACUGUAAUGCCAUUAAUUUGGUGUUGCAGGGAAACAAGACUGUUACUUUGAAAAAAUUAGAGUGUUUAAAGCAGGCAAUCGCUUGAAUACAUUAGCAUGGAAUAAUGAAAUAGGACGAGCGAUCCUAUUUUGUUGGUUUCUAGGAUUGACGUAAUGAUUAAUAGGGAUAGUUGGGGGCAUUAGUAUUCAAUUGUCAGAGGUGAAAUUCUUGGAUUUAUUGAAGACUAACUACUGCGAAAGCAUUUGCCAAGGAUGUUUUCAUUAAUCAAGAACGAAAGUUAGGGGAUCGAAGACGAUCAGAUACCGUCGUAGUCUUAACCAUAAACUAUGCCGACUAGGGAUCGGAUGAUGUUAAUUUUUUAAUGACUCAUUCGGCGCCUUACGGGAAACCAAAGUGUUUGGGUUC
rnacentral:rRNA from 1 species